GGCGGCCAUCUUUGUUGGUUGACCAGGUCACGCCACACAUUUUUUUUUAACUAGAUACCCCAAAGAUGAUUGUGGCCAAGUUUGGAUUAAUUUGGCCCAGUAGUUUCAGAGGAGAAGAUUUUUGUAAAAGAUUACUUUAAUUUACGAAAAAUGGUUAAAAAUUGACUAUAAAGGGCAAUAACUCCUAAACGGGUCAACUGACCAUUUUGGUCAUGUUGACUUAUUUGUAAAUCUAACUUUGCUGAACAUUAUUGCUGUUUACA
rnacentral:lncRNA from 1 species